GGUUUCUUGAAUAAUAAUGAGAGAUCUGACCUGCCCAAUGAAGGAUUGAAUGGCCGCGGUAUAUUGACCGUGCGAAGGUAGCAUAAUCAUUAGUCUUUUAAUUGAGGACUGGAAUGAAUGGUUGGACGUGGUGAUAGCUUUUUUAAUUUUAUGUGUUGAAUUUUACUUUUUAGUGAAGAGGCUAAAAUGUAACCAAAAGACAAGAAGACCCUAUCAAGUUUUAUUAUAUAUGUAUUAUGGAAGAGAGGUAAAAUUAAGGUGCAUUAUAAUUUUACUGGGGCGGUGUAUUAAAAACUAAUUAAGAUCCAAAAUUUUUGAUUAAUUGUUUAAAUUACUGUAGGGAUAACAGCGUAAUCUUAUUUGAGAGUUCAUAUCGACAAUAAGGGUUGCGACCUCGAUGUUGGAUUAGAAUACCUUCUUGGAGCAGAAUCUAAGGGAGGUGGUCUGUUCGACCAUUAAAAUUCUACA
rnacentral:rRNA from 1 species